rnacentral:rRNA from 1 species
AUUGAACGCUGGCGGCAGGCCUAACACAUGCAAGUCGAACGAGUGGCGGACGGGUGAGUAAUGUCUGGGAAACUGCCCGAUGGAGGGGGAUAACUACUGGAAACGGUAGCUAAUACCGCAUACCAUCGGAUGUGCCCAGAUGGGAUUAGCUUGUAGGUGAGGUAACGGAUCACCUAGGCGACGCGCCCUAGCUGGUCUGAGAGGAUGACCAGCCACACGUGAACGGAUACACGGUCCAGACUCCGACGGGAGGCAGCAGUGGGGAAUAUGUGACAAUGGGCGAAAGCCUGAGGCAGCCAUGCCGCGUGUAUGAAGAAGGCCUUCGGGUUGUAAAGUACUUUCAGCGGGGAGGCGUUACCCGCAGAAGAAGCACCGGCUAACUCCGUGCCAGCAGCCGCGGUAAUAC